UCAGGAUCGUUUCUGUAAAUUUUUGGAUUAUUUGUUCUAGUUCUCUGAAAAAUGCUGUGGUAUUUUGAUCGGGAUUGCAUUGAAUCUAUAGAUUGCUUGGGGUAGUAUGGCCAAAAAAUGGACAGUUCUUGAAUCUCCUUCAUAGUCUGUGAAUAUCCUGAUCCACUUAUAAAUUAGUAUCUCAGUAAAAAAGCUUUGUGUCGCAAUUAGGAAAUACAAAAAAAGAAGGGACUUACCAUACAGGCAGCACUUCACAGAGUUCUCAACCCACACAUCUGAUCUGGUACUGACUUUGCAGAUUUUUUCAUCUCAGCUGAUCCUGUGUGUAACACUUCCCUAACUUUGAAGAGUCUAAUUUGUAAACUAGAAGGCAAGUUUUUUCAUUUAUAGUAGAAGAUGUUCCUGACUUGUAAAUAAUAAAUGGUGGUUAAGGGCCAUACUCAGGAGUCAGGAGAUCAGGGUUUGAAACCUGACUAUACCACUUUUUAGUUAUAUGACCCUGGUUAGGCAACUACUCUGAGCCUGCUUGCUCAGCUGUAACGGGGAUAAUAGGACCUCCCUCAUAGGGUGGUUGUGAGGGUUAAGUGAAUUUAUACAUGUAAAAUGCUAAAACUGCUUAGUAUCUAGUAAGUGCUUAGUAAAUGUUAGCAAUUCUUUUAACUUAUAAUUGGAGUACUUUCUGCUAGUGUCCCUAUCCACUCAAGAGAGGAAAUUAUAAAACUGAAAGUUGCUUGGUGAAUAUAAAAUUAGAAGACAGAAAUGUGAAUGUUCUUUAGGAAAUCACUUCCAAAACCUCUAAUGGAUGUCCCUCACUGAGAACACCUCUGUCUACCUGAUCACUAAGUUGAUUUAUUAAGUCCUGCCUCUGUAUGGACACAGUAAAAAGAUAAAUAAUUAUGGUGUUUCUUCUAAGGACAUAUAAGAAUGGGGGAUAAUGGCGGGAGAGGGGGGGUGGUUUGCCUAUUUACCAUCUCAGACUUCUAAGCUCUAGGAUGUGCAACAGUUCGUAAUGAAACAUGUCACAUGAGUUGGGAUUCUCAGAUCCAGCUCUUCCUUUCACUCUGAAUUUAUGCUUCCCAAACCAGACAAUGGCCUAUUUUGAUGCCAUUCCAGGGGAACUUUUCAUAUGUGUAUUGGCCAUCUGUCUGUCCUCUUUGGAGAAAUGUCUAUUCAAGUCCCUUUGUAACAAGCCCAAUUCUUAUAUAUUACACAUAAGAAAACUAUGAAGCAUUUUUUCUGGAGUUAUCUAAAUACCUGCCCUGCAGAAGAAAUAUUAAUAUUUUAAUGUUGCUAAAGAAUAUUCUGAAAGAGGAAAUUGUUGGAUUGAGUGAUAAAUGUCGACAUUUUACUUAUGCAGGACUUCAUGUAAGUAAAUCACUGAAUUUUCGGACUGAAAAUAUCAUUUGAGAAUAUCUUGUUUAACUCACCUAUUCAGAAGUUAAUGAGGAGCAGAAAUAUUAAGUAAAUGCUAACUAGAACUAUGUGAUAAAAUAAUAAACUGUGUUGCAAAGGUUAAAUUAAAAAUUAGUUAUUUGGAAGUUAGAACUAAUUUUCUGUGAGAAAAUUACUAAAUUCCCAGUGUAGCCACUGGAAAUUCUAUUCAGCACAAUGUAACUGGAAAGGGUAAGGAAGACCAGACAUCUCAACUUGGCAGCUGAGGCCACUGGUGAUCUAGCCACAGGCUAUUUCUCUCUCAUUAUUUUAUAUAUAUCUAUUAUUAUUAUUAUUUCUUCAGUUUUCUCUCUCAUUAUUCCUUUUCUUGUAAAGAUACAAAUUAAGUUGCUUCACCAAAAUUGCACAGCUCAUUAUUUCCUCUAUCAAAAAAAUAAUAAAACAAAUGACUCUCCAUAAUUUCAAAACCUGUACAGUACAGCAUUAUUCGUAUUGAAUGACCCAUAUUGGCCUUAAUGAAUAGAUAGAAUUUUGGGAGAGUAGAAUGAAAAUCCUGUCAGCCUGGAUUAUAUAAACUUGAAAGCUUUCAACACUCCCAUGCUUUUCUCAAUCUAGCCUAGGAUAUCCAUGAGCAGUUUCUAAAAAUAAAUGAUUUGGGACAAGUAGAGAUGGGAAAAUACCCAGCAGAUGCAUGUGAUUCCCUGUUUCUUCACCUUACUCUCUCUUCUCCUAAUAUAAGAAUCAUAAAGGAGUAUUUGUCCUAAGGAAAUGAGGAAUAUGGAAAUUUGAAGGAAAAAAAAAACAGCUUAAGAAGUAUCCUACUCAGUGAAAAUAUACUGUCCCUCGACCUGCUAUGGUGUAGGAGAUACUCUGUAUUUUUAUCUGGGGAGCAGUCACUCAGAUGUAUACAUAGGUAAAAUUUCAUCAAGCUGUACAAGAUUUGUGCACUUUAUAUAAAUUAUACCUCAAUUUAAAAAAAAAGUAUUCUUCAAUUAAAUGCCCUUAUGCACAAAGCCUUACUAGCAAUAUUAAGUCUUCAUAAAGCACUUCUAUACCUUAAAUUUUUGAAGAUGUUGGUUAGAGAUGAUAACAUAUAAACUGCAUGCAAAAAAUUUGUUAGUGCUUAAUAUGGCCACGUUUCACAAUUUAACAGGAUGUUUAUUUCAGAAACUAUAAUAAAAGACUGAUUCUCAUAGAUGAGAAGGUAAAUUAUUUUCUGUGAUCUAAACUGAAAUCUGUAUCAGCUAUAAUAAGAUUCAAUCAUAAUAGUAAGAACAAUUGGAAACAAUUUAAAUAUCCAUCAAUAUAGGAAAAUGGUGAAACAAAUUAUAAUACAUCCUUGUAAAAGAAUACCUUUGGCCAUUAAAAAGAAUAAAGUACAUCUAUAUGAGCUGGCAUAGAAAGAUUUCUCACAUUGCUUUGCAAAAAAGUAAGUGGCAGAACAAUGUGUAUAGUAUGAUCACAGAAGUGACCUCGGUUAACUGGUGUGUACCCUUCCAAGUAGUUCUCAUAUUUACAUGUAUGUAAUACAUCUAUACAUCAGGGAUUAUAACAAAGAGCUAUGCAGUUUUUCACUUAAGUAACUGAAUCAAAGAUUUGAAGGCAAUGUAAAAAUGCAUCUAGAAUUACGUCAUAUCUGAGAACUUUCCUGCCAAGACUGAAGGAGUAAAAAGGAUCCAGCCAUCAGAAGAAGUUGCGUACAAGCAUUCCAGGCAGAAGGAGCAGCAAAUGCAGAGGCUGUGAGACAGGAAAGACCUGGUGUUUGGAGAAACAGACAGGAGGCUGGGGUAGCUAACACGUAAUGAGUACAAGGUUCUCAGUUACUCGGGAUCUUGUUUGUGUGAUAUAGUGCUGGAAUUUUAUUCUAACUUGAAUGGAUAGCCACUAGAGGGUUUUAAACAAGAGAGGUAUAUGAUCUGAUUUAUAUUUUUCAAGAUCACCUAGAAUCUUGACCCCAUCUGCCAUCUUACCCAAUCCUCCCAGUCAUGAGAGCCAGCUGUGAGGGAGAAGCAAAGUGCCGGCUGACAUGCAGAGGGCAGAUGGAGCAGAGACCCUGGGAGCAGGAGAGAGGGAUGUCAGAGGCCAGAAAACUACACCGGGCAUGCAUUACUGUCCAGGGCAGCACUGUUCAAUAGAGAUAUAAUCCAGUGUUCCAUGGCUAGCACAGAAUCCUGGAAGCUCUAUACGUUAACCCUUUAGUGACUGGAUUGUGGGAGGUGGAGGAGCCCUCAAGUUUCGAGUCAACCAUCAGCGGCUUCCGAAGGAUUCCAGCAUUUCAUCCACACAGACAGGGCGCUGCCCAGCGAGUGUCAUCUGGGGGAAUGAGCCUCAUGCGCCUGCUCUUUUCCUUGUUACAGGGACUGGGAGACACCAGCGUUUACGGUCACCUCUCAUAAGCUCUGCCUUUUAUUUUUCUAUGAUUGUGCAAACUUCUUAUGUCAUUUGAAACUGAUGCCUUGAAUGAGAAUUGGGCAAAAUGAAAGAUACCAGGAUGCUUUCCCAGCGAGCAUUCCACACCAUCAUGACUCCCACUACGAUUUUAAACUUCCUAAAAAAGCAAAGCAAAAUGAAAAACAAUAGGCUGGAAAGAGCUUAUAUCCAUUUCUCCAGCGUGGAAACCAACCCACCAAGAACUGAAUUUCUUGAUUCUUUAACUUAAACCAACCCAAUAAAUAAAUGUUCUGGUAUUCCUCACCCAACAUAAGUGGUGGUAGAUAGCAAACUGUAACAACUUUGAUGUGCAUUGGUACUGCUUUCUGAGGGGCCAAUGGCACUCUUGAAAAGGAUCCUGAUCCCUCCUGUGAUAUUAUGGGGCUCUGGUGGCAUCUUAAAUCCUUUGAAAAAUUAAUACAUUGAUUUAGAAGUGACGCUAAAAUGUGAAGACUUCACCAGAUUAAAAUAAAUUCAAACCCAGUUAAAUAAAAAUGAUGUAAUAGCAGGCUA